GUGCUGGUUUAGCUCAGUGGUUACUUCGAACAAAUUCAACUCUGAAUAUCGCUCUCUCUCCCGUCCUGGGAUCGAACCACGGGCGCUGUCCAGUGCUUUU
rnacentral:vault_RNA from 1 species